GUCACCUAAACAGUUCCUCGGCCUGGUUUUGUCUCAUCACUAACUUCAAUUCCACUAAGUUUACAUCUGGAUAUCAGGUGCAGCAAGUGGCUGUUGUUUUAAGCUCUGCUCUGAAUGACAUUUCCUUGUGGAGUAACCUGACCAGGGAUGAGAAGUCUGUUGCAGCUGAAUCAUACCUGGAGACUGUAGAGAGGGCAGUGCUGCAGUUGACUGAGCCUUCAGAUGUUCUCUUAAGGAAAAAUGUGCGCUCAGACAAUCUAGAUAUGGAGUUGCUGAUUAUACCAUUCAAACACAACACAUCAGAGGAACAGUUACGAGCCAAUAAAAACACACUGGAGAUUAAGUUGGGAAAACUUAUGGAAGCGAAUA